GCAAGUCUCAUCCAGCAGGUUGUUAUGCGAGCGUUUCCACACAGAAGACAUCCCAAGACACGAACUCUGGGAGAGGGAGCUGCCACUAUAAAUAGGGUGAAGCCCACGAGACAUGUUCACACCCGGCAGAGCUUCCCAAGCGAUUUUCUGAACGUUCACAGUUGUCCGCCAGACGGUCGAGUUGUCUCAUCAUGCGCCGCCUGCUGAUACUCGUGGCAAUGGUGCUCCUCAUCUCUGGCUCCUGCAUGUCUGCUCCACAGCCACUGGGCGGUAGAAGAGGCUUGAUGCCACUUCCAAAUCCACCCGUUUUACGUCAAGGCAUGCUUGCAGCUCCACCACCUAAGGUCCUUGGUGAUGUCCGUAAGAACCCCGGUAAACCCCUCAGUGAUAUCACCAUGAAGCGAGGGUGAUCCCUACUACAGGAUCAGCAAAUACUACAAAUCCAGCCAAAACUGCUUUCAGCAAGCCUGCUUGUCUCCCAUCUCCAUCCUGCUUGUCUUCACUAUCCUGCUACACGUGAGCCGCUGACGUACCCUGUACUCAGUGUCAGUGAACAGAUACAACAGUGAACAUUCAGUAACCGCUGUGACAGCAAAUAUUAUCACAAUGUGGUGACAACACACCUUCACUAACAUGUGGCCAGCAGUAACACACAGCAGUAAGAACGAUGGCCAACAAAC